UACGUAGGGUGCGAGCGUUUGUCCGGAAUUAUUGGGCGUAAAGAGCUCGUAGGCGGUCUGUCGCGUCGAAUGUGAAAAUCCGAGGCUCAACCUCGGACCUGCAUUCGAUACGGGCAGACUAGAGUUCGGUAGGGGAGUCUGGAAUUCCUGGUGUAGCGGUGAAAUGCGCAGAUAUCAGGAGGAACACCGGUGGCGAAGGCGGGACUCUGGGCCGAUACUGACGCUGGAGGAGCGAAAGCGUGGGGAGCAAACAGG
rnacentral:rRNA from 1 species